rnacentral:rRNA from 1 species
AUUGAACGCCGGCGGCAUGCCUUACACAUGCAAGUCGAACGGCAGCACGGGGCAACCUGGUGGCGAGUGGCGAACGGGUGAGUAAUGCAUCGGAACGUACCUUUCAGUGGGGGAUAACGUAGCGAAAGUUACGCUAAUACCGCAUAUUCUGUGAGCAGGAAAGCAGGGGAUCGCAAGACCUUGCGCUGAUUGAGCGGCCGAUGUCAGAUUAGCUAGUUGGUGAGGUAAAGGCUAACCAAGGCGAGGAUCUGUAGCGGGUCUGAGAGGAUGAUCCGCCAAAAGGGAACUGAGACGCGGUCCAGACUCCUACGGGAGGCAGCAGUGGGGAAUUUUGGACAAUGGGGGCACCCCUGAUCCAGCCAUGCCGCGUGAGUGAAGAAGGCCGUCGGGUUGUAAAGCUCUUUCGGCCGGGAAGAAAUCGCACGGGCUAAUACCCUGUGUGGAUGACGGUACCGGAAUAAGAAGCACCGGCUAACUACGUGCCAGCCGCCGCUGUAAGAC